AGUCAGGAUGGCCGAGUGGUCUAAGGCGCCAGACUCAAGUUCUGGUCUUCGAGAGAGGGCGUGGGUUCAAAUCCCACUUCUGACAUUA
rnacentral:tRNA from 1 species